UAGCUUGCAUGGUAUAUAUAUAAUACGAGUGCAUGGAUGCAUACACAACAUUUUGCAUGUCCAUCCAUCUUCUUCAUUGUGCUAUGGUACGCAUCUGUUCCCCCUGAAUGGGUGAAUUACCUUGGUUAUGUUUAGAAGUGCACAGGAAACCACAGAACAUAUUGAUCAACGAAUACUUAUAUUCAGUUAAGACUUAGCGGACUUAAGAGCAGCUAGUGUGUACGUCGUAAGUGUCUAUACAAAGCAUAGAAGCACUACUUACUGUAAAAUAAUGGUGCAAUUUUAAAGCCAGCUGAAUUCAUGAGCAUCAAGUAAUCGUAGCAAAGUCAUAUCUGUGUCUGUGUGGUAUUGUUGUCAAAACCCCUAGUGUACCAUGGGUAUCCAUUGAGACAAAGUUCUCUAGUGAGAAAGAAAUUAAAUAAGUCUUCCAAUACCAGGAUCAGUUAAUCAGGUUUACCAAACAAUAUCUGCUAUAAUUUGAAAAAAGCAAUUUUCAUGGUUAUUGAGCUUAUUGCAUCUUGCGUAGUAUAACCCUAUAGUUGGGAGAGAGAGUUUUGGUUUUCUUUUUCUUUUUCCAUAUUUCUGUUCUUCUCCCUAGUUUAACAGUAACCUUUUGGAGUCUUGGUUUCUUCAAGGCAUUUGGUGGUCUUGUAAAUGCCAAGUUAUCUCAAAAAGCACUAAAUGCAGGCCCUGUUUAGCAUAACUCCGCUCCAAUAAAUGUUGGGUUUGUAGCUGGAGUUUAUUCUACAAACUGCGGAUCCAACCUGAAUCACAGAGCUGGAGGACUGUGCCAAAUAGGCCCGUAAUUGCUAUUUUUUCUUAGUUGUUGCACUUCGAAUCGAUAGUUAAUGAUACGCUGAUCGGCUGAUGUAGACUGCAUACCUGAAUGUGAGUUGAAGGGCGCUCCAAAAUUGGAGAGCAAUACUAAUUGCACUGGCCAAGUCAUUCUCAAGCUCUUCACGUGUAGUGCAAACUCCACAUCUGAGCCAUGAGGCACACAUCUGUGAAAACGAUGGAAAAUUGCAAAUUAAUACGUUGCUUCGAAA